AUUGAACGCUGGCGGCAGGCCUAACACAUGCAAGUCGAGCGGUAGAGAGGUGCUUGCAUCUCUUGAGAGCGGCGGACGGGUGAGUAAUGCCUAGGAAUCUGCCCUAGUGGUGGGGGAUAACGUUCGGAAACGGACGCUAAUACCGCAUACGUCCUACGGGAGAAAGCGGGGGGAUCUUCGGACCUCGCGCCAUUAGAUGAGCCUAGGUCGGAUUAGCUAGUUGGUGAGGUAAUGGCUCACCAAGGCGACGAUCCGUAACUGGUCUGAGAGGAUGAUCAGUCACACUGGAACUGAGACACGGUCCAGACUCCUACGGGAGGCAGCAGUGGGGAAUAUUGGACAAUGGGCGAAAGCCUGA
rnacentral:rRNA from 1 species